rnacentral:rRNA from 1 species
AUUGAACGCUGGCGGCAGGCCUAACACAUGCAAGUCGAACGAGUGGCGGACGGGUGAGUAAUGGCUGGGAAACUGACUGAUGGAGGGGGAUAACUACUGGAAACGGUAGCUAAUACCGCAUACCAUCAGAUGUGCCCAGAUGGGUUUAGCUAGUUGGUGUGGUAAACUCGCACCAAGGCGACGAUCCCUAGCUGGUCUGAGAGGAUGACCAGCCACACUGGAACUGAGACACGGUCCAGACUCAUACGGGAGGCAGCAGUGGUGAAUAUUGCACAAUGGGCUCAAGCCUGAUCCAGCCAUGCCGCGUGUAUGAAGAAGGCCUUCGGGUUGUAAAGUACUUUCAGCUGGGAGGCGUUACCAGCAGAAGAAGCACCGGCUAACUCCGUGCCAGCAGCCGCGGUAAUUC